GAGCGGCAGACGGGUGAGUAACGCGUGGGAACGUACCUUUUGCUACGGAAUAACUCAGGGAAACUUGUGCUAAUACCGUAUGUGCCCUUCGGGGGAAAGAUUUAUCGGCAAAGGAUCGGCCCGCGUUGGAUUAGCUAGUUGGUGAGGUAAAGGCUCACCAAGGCGACGAUCCAUAGCUGGUCUGAGAGGAUGAUCAGCCACACUGGGACUGAGACACGGCCCAGACUCCUACGGGAGGCAGCAGUGGGGAAUAUUGGACAAUGGGCGCAAGCCUGAUCCAGCCAUGCCGCGUGAGUGAUGAAGGCCCUAGGGUUGUAAAGCUCUUUCACCGGUGAAGAUAAUGACGGUAACCGGAGAAGAAGCCCCGGCUAACUUCGUGCCAGCAGCCGCGGUAAUACGAAGGGGGCUAGCGUUGUUCGGAUUUACUGGGCGUAAAGCGCACGUAGGCGGACUUUUAAGUCAGGGGUGAAAUCCCGGGGCUCAACCCCGGAACUGCCUUUGAUACUGG
rnacentral:rRNA from 2 species